rnacentral:sRNA from 1 species
GUUUGCACUCAUCGGGGAAGGGUGAGAACCUUCGACUAAGGUUCGAUUCGAGCGAAAGCGAGAGAACGUUGCCACAGGCAACGGCCCGAAGGGCGAAGCGACAAAUAAUCCUUCCCCCACCACCA